rnacentral:rRNA from 1 species
AUUGAACGCUAGCGGCAUGCCUAACACAUGCAAGUCGAACGAGUGGCGGACGGGUGAGUAAUAUAUGGGAAGCUGCCUAAUGGCGGGGGAUAACUACUAGAAAGGGUAGCUAAUACCGCAUACUCUCUGAGUUGCCCAUAUCGGAUUAGCUUGUUGGUGGGGUAAAGGCUCACCAAGGCGACGAGCCCUAGCUGGUUUGAGAGGAUGACCAGCAACACUGGGACUGAGACACGGACCAGACUCCUACGGGAGGCAGCAGUGGGGAAGAUUGCACAAUGGGGGCAACCCGGAUGCAGCCAUGCCGCGUGUAUGAUGAAGGCCUUCGGGUUGUAAAGUACUUUAGGCGGGGCAGCGUUACCUGCAGAAGAAGCACCGGCUAACUCCGUGCCAGCAGCCGCGGUAAUAC